CCACGAUCCCAGAUCUAUUAUUCCAUUUUGGAACCCUUCUCCACAGCCUCAGGUCAAUGCAGUGUUCUCCUGGGGGUCAGUGCCUGGCAGCACAGAAAGUCUGGAACUCUCAGCACCCAGGGUUCCAACACCCUACAUCACUCAGAGAAGGUUUACAUCAGGUUAACUCGUGAGACACCAGCAGACCCGUGAAGGCUGGUUGCUAUAAACAAUGAAAAUUGUGCAUUCCAUGAGUUAUCCAAAGGGGAAAAUAAUCCCUGACUGCUGUCACAGGACCUGGGCUCUUUGUCUCAAGACCUCUAGACUUCAGCACGACUGUGUCCUAAUUAAGGCUUGCUUAAUUUCUCUUGAAAAUGCCCAGGGUGUGGAUCAGCUUGUGAAAAAUGCAAGUUUACAGUAUCUUUGGAAUAUAUCUUCAUCUAUUUUAUGCUGAAAUAAGCCAGGAAGGAGGAAAAAAGCUCCAUUUAUUCUGGUUUGGUCACUGUUAGAAGGAAUGGGCAAUCACCAGUGCUGGAGUAAGACCAAAAAAAUAAAGAAAAUGUUUUUUCCAUUGUCUCUACAAUUGCCACAGGGAACUUUUGGGUUUUUUAAUAACCAAGAUAAGACUGGACACCCUUCUGGAAGGGAAAUACUGGGCAGGAGUGUGUGGCACCUGGUAAAGAUGGGAUGUCUCAGGGUAGCAGAAUUUCAGUCUCCACCAGGGCUGGCUGCACAUUCAUCUCCCAGAUAAUGUCCUAGGGUCAUGAAUUAUGUAGGAAAUGCUGACUGGAAUAGCUGAAACCUUAAAUUAUUGAGACUUUUUGCAAUUAGUUGGUUGCUGGGGGAAGAAGGAGGUGUUGACUUACAGACAGCGUGGUUUAAUUACUCCAAGAAAAACAGAGGAGGAUAAAAAGCAAACCAGAAGAGUUUGUAUUCAAACCUCAUGUGACAUUAUUGCAAUGUCUCACUGAAAAUGUGGCACUGUCACACCUUCAUUUAGUUGGAAUUGCAACAUCUGGGGAUGGGGAUGACACCUCUGGAGUCACCCUGUGCAGUCCUCCUUGCUUGAGGAUGGGUCAGCCAGACCAAGCUGACUGGGAGUUUUGAUUAUUUCCAUUUAUGGAGACUUUAUAACCUCUCUGAACAUCGUCUCCCAGUGUUUGACCACCUUCACAAUUAAAAAUAAUUUUUUUUCUUGUGCUGAGUUUGUGCCCUUUGCUUCCUCUCCUGUUACUAAGCAUAAAGAGGAGCUGAGCUCUACUUCCUUUACUCCAGGACUCAGUGACCAGGCAUUACAAAGGUCAUUCCUAAGUUAUGAUGUCUUGUGGAAGGACCAGGCAGUAAUGCCUUUUGCCUGAGUGCCCUGCUGAUGUAUUUAUCUGCCAAGAAAUGUCAGCCUUUUAAUCAAAUAAAUAAUUCAUGGCCGGCGUGUGAUGAUACCAGCGCCUGGGAAUUGUGCACUGGAUGGAGUGAAAUAAAGCUGUCAGUGUGAAAGGGCAGCGUUGGAGCCCGGGAUGGAUCAAUGGAAGCAGAAGAACAUUUCUAUUUGGUUUAUAACUAAGUGAUCUUUUUUGGAAGGUCUCAUUUUACAGCGCUGUACUCCGGUGAUUGCCUUCUUCCAUCAUCAGCCAAGAUCCAAGGCAUUUUGAGUAACCUGAACAUUUUUAUUUUAUUUUAAAUCUUAGUUAAACAACAAAUUCACUGUUUUUAGUAAAUUCAAUGACAUUUCAAAUGGAUUUGAUUUGGGUAGACAUACAGCCAUGAAACAACUCAUAUUUAACUCCACAACUGACGGAAAACGCCCUUGGGGCAAAUGGCCCAUUUGGCUACUCACGACUCUCUGCAGGAUUUGCCAGUUAUUCCUCACCCAAAAUACUGC